GAUGAACGCUGGCUACAGGCUUAACACAUGCAAGUCGAGGGGAAACGACGGGGAAGCUUGCUUCCCCGGGCGUCGACCGGCGCACGGGUGAGUAACGCGUAUCCAACCUGCCUCUGACUGAGGGAUAACCCGUCGAAAGUCGGCCUAAUACCUCAUGGCAUCGUCUGCGGGCAUCCAACGACGAUUAAAGAUUUCAUCGGUCAGGGAUGGGGAUGCGUCUGAUUAGCUUGUUGGCGGGGUAACGGUCCACCAAGGCUACGAUCAGUAGGGGUUCUGAGAGGAAGGUCCCCCACAUUGGAACUGAGACACGGUCCAAACUCCUACGGGAGGCAGCAGUGAGGAAUAUUGGUCAAUGGGCGGGAGCCUGAACCAGCCAAGUAGCGUGCAGGAUGACGGCCCUAUGGGUUGUAAACUGCUUUUAUGCGGGGAUAAAGUGAGGGACGUGUCCUUCAUUGCAGGUACCGCAUGAAUAAGGACCGGCUAAUUCCGUG
rnacentral:rRNA from 1 species